rnacentral:lncRNA from 1 species
GGCGAAUCGCCGAGUCGUUCCGCAAAGCAAAGAUAGAUCGCCCAAAGUUACAGACCUCGAGGAUGCUGAAUGCUAAGGCAAAAAAGGCGAUGGAAGAGGUCAAAGGGUGGCUUGCCGAGUGGUUCGGUUAGCCCUGAGAAAUCUAAGGCUAAUGUAUAGCGUAAUGCUUUUGUAUUUGCUGAUAAUGAAAUACAGAGUACAUCAUAGUGUAUUUAUACACUUACAAGUCGUGCAGAGCAUAGAGAGUAAUACUCCUAAUACAAGACAACUAUCUAGAGAUAGAGUUAUACUUUAACAUGGACUCUAUAUCUAAGAUUAUCACUAGUAACUAAUAAUUAUAUCUAACUGAUCUUAUCUCGAUCUUUAACACUUCCCCUCAAGCUAAUUGGAGGUGAGUUUACUACUCUUAGCUUGUCUCUGAAGAACAGGAAUUGGUCCUUUGCCAGUGCCUUCGUGUGAAUGUCCGCUAGUUGAUCCCUGGAUCGAACAAAUUGAGUGAUUAACUGCCCUUGAGCUACUUUUUCUCUAACAAAAUGAUAAUCCAAUUCUACAUGUUUGGUUCUAGCAUGUAAUACUGGAUUUGUGGUCAUGUACAGUGCACUCAUAUUGUCACAAAACAGUGUAGGAGCAGACUUAAUAUAUAUUCCAAUAUCUUGCAGAAUGUAAGUCAGCCAUGUGAGCUCAGCAGCUGUAGCAGCUAAGGCUCUAUACUCAGCUUCUGCACUUGACCUUGCAACUGUGUUCUGUUUUCGAGAGGACCAGGACACACAAUUUGCACCAAGAUAUAUGAUGUAACCAGUGGUGGAUCUUCUUGUUGUUGCACAUCCUGCCCAGUCAGCAUCCGAGAAACCAUACAACCUGAGCGAGGACUGAGAAGUAAUACACAAACCAUGAGUAAUAGUUCCCUUUACAUAUCUGAGUAUUCUCUUUACAGUGCACAAAAUUUGGAUUCUGCAUGAACUAACUUGCAAGGUUCACAGCGUGAGUUAUAUCUGGUCUGGUUAGUGUCAAGUAUUGUUAGCUUCCUACAAUGCUCCUAUAUACUGAUAUCGUGAGUUAUAUCUGGACUGGUUAGUGUCAAGUAUUGUAAGCUUCCUACAAUGCUCCUAUAUACUGAGGAAUCAACUGGAGUUCCAAUAGCUUCCUGUAAGCCAUGCUUCUGUACUAAGGGAGUAGGCACUUCCUUUGCAUCUUCCAUGUCCACUUUCUUGAGCAAAUCAGUAGCAUAUUUGCUUUGAGACAAGUGAAUUCCAUCUGGAAAAUAGGUAACUUCAACACCUAGGAAGAAACUUAGUUGUCCAAGGUCCUUCAUGGAAAAUUCAAUGCUCAAUUUCUUCACAACUUCAUCCAUUUGCUUUGAGUUGUUGCCUGUCACAAUUAUGUCAUCUACAUAUAACAACAGUAGUAUUGUUCCUGCUGGACUAUGAAGAUUGAACAGAGAUGAAUCAGCUCUGCUGCACUUGAAGCCAAUGUGGAGCAGAUACAAGCUAAACCUUUCAAACCAGGCUCUAGGAGCCUGUUUGAGACCAUACAGUGCCUUUUUCAACUGGCAGACAUGGCUCGGAUAGUUUGGAUCAACAAAUCCUGGUGGUUGACUCAUGUACACUUCUUCUGCAAGAUAUCCAUGGAGGAAUGCAUUUUUAACAUCAAGUUGUCUAAUAAACCAAUGUUGUGUGACUGCAAGAGAUAGAACAACUCUUAUAGUAGUUGCUUUCACAACAGGGCUAAAGGUUUCUUCAAAAUCUACUCCUUCAUGCUGUGAGUAGCCCUUUGCAACUAAUCUCGCCUUAUGUCUUUCAAUUGAACCAUCUGACUUCAUUUUGGUCUUAAACACCCAUUUGGAUCCUACUACAUUCAUCUUAGUAGUUCUGGGAACCAGAAUCCAGGUCUCAUUUUCAUGCAGUGCUUGCAACUCCUCAUUCAUAGCUGCUACCCAGUGUGGAAUGCUAAGUGCUUCUUUAAGGGACGUAGGUUCACUAAGUGCAGUGCUUUUCCUAGUUGCAAAUAAUGAACUAUGAGAUAAGUUUUUAGCUUUUGACCUGGUUAUCAUGACAUGUUCUGAUGUCGAUGGUUGAGAUGGAGCCUGUAAUUGAGGUUGGAAUUGAUCAGUAAAGAGUUUAGAUAGAUCAUCCUCAAAUUGAAGUCCCCUUCGAUCUACAAUGCUGAAUUCUUGGGGCUGCUGCUCAUCCUCAUAUAGUUGUGUUUGCAUCAUUGCAGCAUCUUGUGCCUCAUUAGGAGAAUCAUUAGGUGAGUUCUCAAGUGAUGCGGGAGAUGUAGAUGGUGACAAUUCCUCGGUAUAUUGUUGAGGUUCUUCAGGUGCUAGUUCAUCUAGCAAUAUAUCAGCAGGAAGAUGCUCAGAUGAGUCAGACUCUUGCCUUGGCACGUCAUCAAUUGUGGUCUUUGAUUCUGAGAAAAAUUCAGAGAAUGUGGCGAGAUGAAUGGAACCUGCAGAAUCACUUUCAUUGUUGUUUCCCUGCACAUAAGGAAGAGUUAGUUCAUCAAAGACAACAUGUCUUGAUAUAAAUACCCUUUUUGUGGAUGGAUAAUAGCAUCUGUAUCCUUUGUGAAGGCUACUGUAUCCAAUGAACACACAUGGAUAUGUCUUUGGUGAAAACUUGUUGCUUCCUUUGAUGUAGGGAAAACACCUGCACCCAAACACCUUUAAGCUAUUGUAAUCAGGAUGUGUUCCAUGGAGCUUAUGGAAAGGUGUGUCCUUAAGUACUGAAGAUGGUAGCCUGUUUAUAAGAAACACAGCUGUAAGGAAGGCUUCCGUCCACAUAAAUAAAGGCAGUUUAGCGUGAAACAACAAUGUUAAACCAGUCUCUACUACAUGCCUAUGUUUCCUUUCAGCAAUACCAUUCUGCUCAGGUGUAUUUGGACAGGAUAUAUGCCUAACAAUACCACAAUUUUCCAAGUGGUUAAUGAACUUUGAGCUAGAGAACUCACCACCUCCAUCACAUUGGAAUACCUUAAUGCUUUUAGUAAACUGUUUUUCAACCAUUUUUUGGAACUUAACAAACACUUCAAAGAAAUCUGAUUUCCUUCUCAAUGGAUAUAGCCAAGUGUAUCUACUAUGAUCAUCCAAAAACAAUGCAUAGAAUUUCAUGUGUUGUGAAGACUCAACUGGUGCAGGACCCCACAAAUCACAAUGUAUUUUCAGCAAUGGUUCUUUCUCAGUUUUAUUUCUCAAAUUAAAAGGCAAUUUACAACCUUUUCCCAUUUGACAACUAACACAAACAGUAGGAUUUUUAUUCCAACAAGUGAUAUUGAUACACUUAUUUUUGUCUAAAACUUCUAAAAAUUUAGAGUUUGGGUGCCCAAGUCUGGCAUGCCAAACAUCACUAGAACUAAAUCUAGAACUUAAACUACUCCUUCUUGUCUGUGUUGUUGCCAAUGCUAGCAGAUUGUUGUCUUCCAAGGCAUAGAUACCUCCCCUUCUAGAUCCCUUGGCCAGCUGCUUCCCUGUUACCUUGUCCUUUACAUCAAAAGUUGAUUCGUCAAACUCAAUUGUACAGUAAUUAUCCUUAGUUAGCUUACUUACUGACAAGAGUUUCUUCUUAAGUUCAGGAACAACAAGGACCUUAUUUAGUUUUAAACCAGAUAUACUUCCACUGCCUAUGUGAGUGAUAUUAAGUUCACUUCCAUUUCCUACUACAAUCUUAUCGGUACCUUUAUAAGGUUUUAGAUUAGAUAGCUUACCUGAAGAAUUUGUCAUGUGAGUACUUGCUCCUGAGUCCACAUAGACUGCAUUAUCUCCAAUGUUAGGAUCAUUCAGAUUAACAGAUGCUAAGGCUCGGGGCAAGUCCUCUGAUGCUUGGUAUGAGAAAUCCCACCUGUAGAAGCAUUUGAGUGCGGUGUGGUUGUUCCUACCACAAAUUUGACAAGCAACAACUUCUUCCUUCUCCCUGGAGGGAUUUUCAGUGCCUUGUCCUUGAGCAGCUUGAUGUGUGCUUUGUCCAGAUGGUCUAAAACCCCUGCCUCUUGAGUUGUAGUUCAUAUUUCCUCUCUUUGAAUAGGAGUUUCCUCUACCCCUAUAGUUGUUGGACCUGUUUUGAUUUACCUGUUGAGCAGUGAAGGCUGUGUUAUGGUUAACAUGUUGUGAUUCUUCUCCAUCAUCUUCCCUGAGAUCAAAGCCUCUCAAUGCAUUGAUCAGUUGGUUCAAAGUUGGAUAAGGUGGUUUGCCAAGCAUGACAGUCCUGAAGGUUUUAUACUUAGGACCUAGUCCUCUGGCAAAAUUUAUCACCUUGCUAUCCUCAUCUACUGGCUUGUGUAUGGCUGCUAAACCAUCACAUAUGCCCUUGAAUUCUUUCAAGAAUUCAUCUGUAGACUUGUUUCCAAGCCUGAUAGUUUGAAGUUGUUGCUUCAAUUGGAAUUCUUUGUCCUUGGUAGCUUGAAGGUAAGUUUCCUUCAAGGUUUCCCACAUCUCUUUUGCAGUAUUGUAGCCUACAAUGAGGUACAUGGUUUCCUCUGAUAGUGUACCAGAGAUCCAAAUUCUCAGCAACACGUCCUUCUCCUCCCUAUCAUCAUUUUCACUGCCUUUAUCACUGGUUUUGCCACUGUUUUUGUCACUGCUAGAAGUGUCUUCUUCAGUGAUAAUUGUUUUUGGUUCAUCCCGAAUGAGAUAUGUUAGUCUCAUGACUUGGAUAAGCUGCAACAUUUGAGUCCUCCAUAUCAGGUAAUUUGAGGGCUUGAGUUUAAUUGAGACUGAAGCAAUGAGAUGGUGAAGUGAGGAGGUUGAGAGUGUGUUGGAGGCUGAUGCCAUUUGGCUUCUAAAAAGCAAAGAUAGAUCGCCCAAAGUUACAGACCUCGAGGAUGCUGAAUGCUAAGGCAAAAAAGGCGAUGGAAGAGGUCAAAGGGUGGCUUGCCGAGUGGUUCGGUUAGCCCUGAGAAAUCUAAGGCUAAUGUAUAGCGUAAUGCUUUUGUAUUUGCUGAUAAUGAAAUACAGAGUACAUCAUAGUGUAUUUAUACACUUACAAGUCGUGCAGAGCAUAGAGAGUAAUACUCCUAAUACAAGACAACUAUCUAGAGAUAGAGUUAUACUUUAACAUGGACUCUAUAUCUAAGAUUAUCACUAGUAACUAAUAAUUAUAUCUAAC